AACGCAAAUUGCACUCUCCGGUUUUCCGGGAGAGUAUGCCUGUUUGAGGGUCUGUUUAAAAAACAAUCGAGGCUGCUGCUGUGUGGUGGCGCCUCGGAAUUGGGUCAUCUUCCACCUUUCGGGGUUGUAAGCGACUUAAAAUUUUUUUUACGAUUUCGAUGAGCGUGUUUAAGGAUAUUCCUAUACGUUCAUGAUAUCGAAAUUCCCCUAUUAGGGGUGACCGCCGCGUCGGUCUCACUCCUAUAAUUAUCAUCAAAGGACCUCAGACAGGUAAGAUUACCCGCUGAACUUAA
rnacentral:misc_RNA from 1 species